GGGAAUUUUGGGGUAAAUUUUGGGAGAUUUUUAGGGGGAAUUUUGGGUGGAUUUGGGGUAAUUUUAGGCUCGGGAUUUGAGGAGUUUUUUGGGGGAAUUUGGGGUUUUUUUGGGAAUUUGAGGUCAGGAUUUGUUGGGGUUUUUUGUUUUUUUUUUUUCCAGGAAUUUUGGGGUUGGGCUUUGGGAUUUUUUGGGAAUUUGGGAUUUUUUUGGGGGGGAUUUUUGGGAUCUCAACCACACCCGGCGCUUUCACCACUUCUUUAUUCGCUCCAAAACCGCCCGAAAUCGCCCCAAAAUUCCAGAAGGUCCCAGAAAAUUCCAGAAGGUCCCGAAAAUUCCAGCGAGGUCCCCAAAUCUGGGGGGGCAUCCCCCAUGACGUCAUUGUCACCUGGGGUGUCCCCAAGGUCCCAAAAUUGUCCCCAAAAUCAUUUUUGGGGUCCUCCAGGUCACGUUUGGGUUCCCAAAAAUCUUUUUUGGGGUCUUCAAGGUCCUUUUUUGGGUCCCCAAAAUCAUUUUUGGUGACCUCAAAAUCCCAAAAUUGUCCUCAGGGGUUUUUUUUGGGGUCUUCAAGGUCCUUUUGGGGUCCCCAAAUUGCUCCAGGUGUCCCCAAGGUCCCAAAAUUGUCCCCAAGGUCCUUUUUGGGUCCCCAAAAUUGUCCCCAGGGUUCUUUUUGGCGUCCCAAAGGUCACAAAAAUUGUCCCCAAAAUCAUUUUUUGUGUCCCCAGGGUCUUUUUUGGGGUCUUCAAGGUUCUUUUUUGGGUCCCCAAAAUCAUUUUUGGUGACCCCAAGGUCCCAGAAUUGUCCCCAAGCUCCUUUUGGGGUCCCCAAAAUUGUCCCCAAGGUCUUUUUUGGUGUCUCCAAGAUCCCAAAAAUUGUCCCCGAGGUCUUUUUUGGUGUCCCCAGGGUCCUUUUUGGGGUCCCCAAAUCCUCUCGGGUGUCCCCAAAAUUGGCCCCAGGGUCAUUUUUGGUGUCCCCCAAAUCAUUUUUGGUGUCCCCAGGGUCAUUUUUGGGGUCUUCAAGGUCAUUUUGGUGUCCCCAAGAUCCCAAAAUUGUCCCCAAGGUCAUUUUUGGGUCCCCAAAAUCACUUUUGAGUCUGGUGACGUCACCGCCCGUUCUGAUGACGUCACCACCCUCUUCGAUGACGUCAC
rnacentral:lncRNA from 1 species